rnacentral:misc_RNA from 1 species
AGAAACUGCGCACGAACAUCACUGACAGGUAGUUAGCUUACCGUACAAGGUCAACGUAACGCUCUUCUUCAGAUCGGACGAUAACUUACUCUUGCUUGUUGAAAAAGCGAUGGCUUUGGUCGCGGGACAGAGAUCUACACUGAAUCCGAAUGCUCCGGUCUUCAUUCCUUCCGUGUACCGUCAAGUGGAGGAUUUUUCACCGGAGUGGUGGGAGCUGGUGAAAACUUC